rnacentral:lncRNA from 1 species
CAGGGAAGCCACUUUUAUUUUUAUUUUUUCCACAUAGAUAAUUUCAUGUCAGCUACAAAAAUCAUGAAAUGAAGAACUAAUCGUGAAACUGCAAACUCAAAAACCACUGGAUUGAUAAACAGGAUCUCCCCAACGGACUGUUAAAAAAAUAACCAGAAUACCAUGAAUUCAUAUUUAAGUAGUAAACAUUGCUAGCCAUACAAUUAGACGUCACUUACCAGUCAGCUCAUUGCAUGUUUAAUAAUAUACAGUUACAUGCUAAUCCAUAUAUAUCAUUUAUAUUUCAAACACAUAGGUCUCUCUAUAUUUGUCUUUAAAAUUUACAUGUUGAACUUACAAAAAGCUAAAUUGCUGUGCAAGAAAUCCAAAUAACUAGCCCUGCUGAGUACUUUAUGCUAUAUGUAGGUGCAUGUGUCUCUCUCUCUCCCUGACAAACAAUGGGAUUAGAGUUAAU